AAAGCAACAAUCAAGAACUAUUAACAAGAACCAUUGACUCCCUGAGGAGGCUUCACUUCUGAGAGAUCCUCUCUCACAUCUUGGACCUUAGAUCUCUGCCUUCCUGACACCAGCUCUGUAGGGGAGAUCUCUCCUAGGUCUGAGCCAGCCCUUCACAGAUCUGCUGCCUGUUCAGGCCAUUGGAUCUCUUCCUCCUCCUCUGACCAGGGGUUGCAGUCCCUGCUCUGAGGGCAGCAUCUUACCCUCUGUAAAUCUCUGUAUACCAGCCUGCUGUCCUGGAAGGCCAGGGAAAGACCUCUGCCCUUCUGGGACCCUUCAGCCCCCCCAGCUCAGUGUGCAGAAGACCAAGGCCUGACCCAGCAGGGAGCCUGGAGUCAGAGGGAAUGGCCCUUGGGAUCCCCAGUCCCCCAGCUCAGGCUGACUUCAGAAAAACCUGGAAAGACUUAUAUGGU